AGUGAACGCUGGCGGCAUGCCUAACACAUGCAAGUCGAACGGCAGCACAGCAGUAGCAAUACUGUGGGUGGCGAGUGGCGGACGGGUGAGGAACACAUCGGAAUUUGCCCAGUCGUGGGGGAUAACGUAGGGAAACUUACGCUAAUACCGCAUACGACCUUACGGUGAAAGCGGGGGAUCGCAAGACCUCGCGCGGAUGGAUAAGCCGAUGUCGGAUUAGCUAGUUGGCGGGGUAAGAGCCCACCAAGGCGACGAUCCGUAGCUGGUCUGAGAGGAUGAUCAGCCACACUGGGACUGAGACACGGCCCAGACUCCUACGGGAGGCAGCAGUGGGGAAUAUUGGACAAUGGGGGCAACCCUGAUCCAGCAAUGCCGCGUGUGUGAAGAAGGCCUCGGUUGUAAGCACUUUGUCGGUACGAACGUAG
rnacentral:rRNA from 1 species